UAUUCUGAUACUGGGCUUCUUUUUAAAAGCCCACAUUAAACAUUGGACCCAUUCUUAUUGGGCUUCAACUUUAUUGUGCAUUGGCUCAAAUUCGGUUAGCUCAAAGCCUUUGACCCGAUCGGCGUCCGGCGGGUCUGUUCUCCGGCACGGUAAUCGGAACUUCCAGCACUCCUUCCGUCAACAAUACUUUUCUGCUUUCGCAGUUCGGCAACUUGGGACCUUAGGCGGGUACUUCUUGGAAGUCGAAUGGAGGGCACCAACCCAGGCCAUAAGAGGCCUUCUGAUCGACUCAUUGACCCCGUCCAUGUAUGGGGAAGUUGUAAGAUGAAGGGUGAGAAGAACAAAUAUUGUUCCUCUAGCAUUGAAGAACCAUGAAGUGAUGCAUAUAUCUAGCCUCAAAGACACCACACAUAGUUUGGAAUCAUGUGAAUAUAGAACACAACACGUUUUGAGCACAUCCAACGCUACCACCGUCAUCAACUCUUACAAUGUCAUCUAAAUUGUCGAUUCUUGUGUGGGACACUUGCAGUCCCAAGUCACGAUGGAUAUGUUAAAAGGUGUAGGUGUUCAUGCAGACAAAAAUGGUAUCUUGGCCUCCCAUUAGUUUCCCAAUCUUUACCUUUCAAAGUUGUUGCACUAAGUGUAAGCAUUGUGUUGAUGGGAGAUGGUAGUAUUCAACGAAUUAAUCGAGGUAUUCGACUCAGCAACGAGGCAAACCCGUCUAGUCCUAUCGGGAUGAUAAAGGAUAUCAAUGGUGUUGUUUUGAUGACGAUUAAUUCCUUCUACACCAUUAAAGUUUGUGGUGAAAUGAAUAUGAUUUCUUCAUUUAAAAUAUAAUUAGAUGUUUGUCUUCGAGUUGUAGGAUGGUAAAAUAUCCCAUUAUGGAACGCUUUCCCUUUUAAUUGACGGUAAGGCCCCGUUUGGCCAUAGAUUUUCUAAAUAAAAAGUGGAAUUUUUUUUUGGCAAAUAGUGUGUCUAUAUAAUUUGCUAUUUGGCAAAUAAUCCAAAUUUUCAGUUACUAGAAAAAAUUAGUGUUUUGGGAACUUUUAAAAUUGAAGUUUUACACCAAAAACAUUCUUUACAGUAGUUGUUUGCAUUGUAUCACAUAAUCUUUUACAUGAACACCAAAGGAAUGAUGGAAUAUUCAAUGAAUACGAAGGUGAUGAUAUGAUUGUUGCGGAUCAGGGAAAUAAAGCCACGUGCUUCAUCUACUUCACGAUGUAUAGAAUAAUGUAUGUCGCACUCUCUCUGAACAAUCACUACUUGUUAUUUGUUGCAACAAAGAUUCAACUAACUUUGUGGUGUAGUCAUGAAUCUUAUUAUAUUGACGUUUUUAUCUUUUUAUAUAAUACAAACUUAUGGUUAGUUUUGAUAGUUUUAA